rnacentral:rRNA from 1 species
CGCGGCCUAUCAGCUUGUUGGUGGGGUAAUGGCCUACCAAGGCUUCGACGGGUAGCCGGCCUGAGAGGGUGACCGGCCACACUGGGACUGAGACACGGCCCAGACUCCUACGGGAGGCAGCAGUGGGGAAUAUUGGACAAUGGGCGGAAGCCUGAUCCAGCAACGCCGCGUGAGGGAUGACGGCCUUCGGGUUGUAAACCUCUUUCAGUACCGACGAAGCGCCCGUUGUGGGUGGUGACGGUAGGUACAGAAGAAGCACCGGCCAACUACGUGCCAGCAGCCGCGGUAAUACGUAGGGUGCGAGCGUUGUCCGGAAUUAUUGGGCGUAAAGGGCUCGUAGGCGGUUUGUCGCGUCGGGGGUGAAAACACCGGGCUUAACUCGGUGCCUGCUUUCGAUACGGGCAGACUAGAGGUAUGCAGGGGAGAACGGAAUUCCUGGUGUAGCGGUGAAAUGCGCAGAUAUCAGGAGGAACACCGGUGGCGAAGGCGGUUCUCUGGGCAUUACCUGACGCUGAGGAGCGAAAGUGUGGGGAGCGGACAGGAUUAGAUACCCUGGUAGUCCACACCGUAAACGUUGGGCGCUAGGUGUGGGGCCUAUUCCAUGGGUUCCGUGCCGCAGCUAACGCAUUAAGCGCCCCGCCUGGGGAGUACGG